rnacentral:rRNA from 1 species
CGCAAUAUAAGUAAUAUGAAAGAUAUAUUUCUUUAAAAAAUUAAAACAAGUAUAUAAAGAAACUAUUAUGGAAAAUUAGCUAUAUAUUAAAGAAUAUCUAGUGAAUCUAGUUUUCUAAGAGAAAUUGAAUAAUAAACGAAGUGAAUUGAAAUAUCUUAGUAACUUUAGGAAAAGAAAUCAAACGAGAUUGUUAUUUGGUGUCAACUAAAUAACAAAAGCCUGAUAACAAAACUUGUUAAAGUAAAAUGGAUUAAAAUCUGUUUGAAUAUAGGGGAACCUUCCUCUAAGGCUAAAUAUGAUAUAUAAGCGAUAGUAAAAAGUACCGUGAGGUAAAAUUUGAAAUAGUAGUUUUAUAAGCAGCUCGAGUGAAAUUUAAAAUAAAUAAUAAGAGCGUACCUUUUGCAUAAUGGGUCAGCAAGUUAAUUUUAGAUGCAAGCAAUGAUUACUUGGAAAAGUAGCAAGUAACUAGCUUAGAUAAACCAAUUAUGAAAAAAUGAAUAAGUAUCUAGAAUUAGACCCGAAGGCUAGUGAUCUUACCAUGAUCAGGGUUAUAAAAGCCCGAACGGGUUAUCGUUGUAAAGAUAUCCGAAGAAUUGUGGUAAGUUAGUGAAAGACAAAACUGACUAGUAUAGCUGGUUUUCCGCGAAACCUAUAUGAGUAGGUAAUUUAACUAACAUCUUAGCAGGUACAGAACUGUGAUCUCGGACAAUAUCUUUUGAUUUUGUCAACAUCGGGGGGUUGUAGUGACUUUACCGGAGAGUAUUUGCACUCGGAAUGGCAAAGAUGAAUGUUGAAUAAUCGGACAUAGUGCGAUAAGGUUGUAUGUCUAAAGGGAAACAGCCCAGAACAAGAGUUAAGGUUCCAAAAUUAUUGUUGAGUGAAAUUAAGGAUGUUUUUUUUUAAAACAAUCAGGAAAUAGGCUUAGAAGCGGCCAUUUUUUGAAGACCUCGUAACAGAGCACUGAUUAACUUUUUUAGAAAAAAAUACUGAAAAUUUAACGGAUCUAAAUAAUAUACCGAAAUCUUGUACACAUAUUUAAUAUAAUAAUAUUGUAUAUGUGGGGUAGCGGAACAUUGGAUAAAUAUUAAUUACAUAAUAUUUAUAAAAAUAUUAUGUAAGUAUGGAUAAUUAAGGCGAAUAUAUUAUAUAACAUGAAUGUUAGGAUGAUUAAAUAUGAACUCUAUAUAUCUUUAUAGUUAAAAAUUAAAAUCUGAGAUAAUAUAAAUAAAAAAUUAUUCAAAAUAAAAUCCAAGAGAUAAUGCUGACAUGAGUAACGAAAAAGGAAUAUCCUCGCCUUAAGCUUAUGGUAUUAUAUUUAAUUUUCGGUAUCUAAAUAUAUUAAUCAAAAGGUAAUUUUGAUGAAAUUUAUAUAUAAAUACUUAAAAGUAAAAAACAAAACCUUUAAUAAGUAAUAAAGGUUCUGGAAAAUUUUUUACUUUUAUCUAAAGUAUAAUAUAUACCGUACCUAGAUACUAUCACAAGUAAGCAAGUAGAGAAUACAAAGGCGUUUGAGUGAACAAUCAUUAAGGAACUCGGCAAAUUGACUCCGUAACUUCGGAAUAAGGAGGGCCAUUAUUAGAAGUUUAACAUAUCUUAUGAUAUGAUUUAAUUAAACUAAUGAUAAGAGGAAACAUGAAAUAAUGUUGUACGACUGUUUAAUAAAAACACAGCACUCUGCAAAGAUAAAAUAUCAAAGUAUUGAGUGUGAUGUCUGCCCAAUGUCGGCUGGGUAACAGAUUUACCUUGGUUUUUAACUGAGGUUUUGAAGGAUACCCCGAUUAAUGGCGGCCUUACCUAUGAGGGUCCUAAGGUAGCGAAAUACCUUGGCCGUUAAAUGCGGUCCUGCAUGAAUGACUUAACGAUACAACAGCUGUCUCGAUGAUUGUCUCAGUGAAAUUGGAAUAGCAGUGCAGAUACUGUUUACCUCUAGAUAGACGAGAAGACCCUAUGCAGCUUUACUGUUACUAAUUGCAAAAGUAAAAAUUUGGAGUGAUUACUAGUGUAUAAGGUAGUUGUCUGAUAACAAUGAAACACCUUUAUUCGUCUCCUAUUAUAUGCUUUUGAGGAUUGGGAGGCAGUUUAUGCGGGGCACAGAUCCCACAAAAAGUACCUGGGUAUAUCCAAAGUUCAUUUUGUAAAUUUGUAAAUUUAUUUACAAAUAUUUUAAUUUGUUAUAAUUAUAUUUAUAAUUAUACAGUUAUUGUUAGAUUAAAUUCAACAUUUAUUUUUAAUUUAAGUAAGAUUUUAACUAUAUGGUGAAUAGAUGUAUUUUAAACUUUAAUAUUUAAAAGUUUUUUGUCAUAUUAAUAUUGUAUAAUAACCUUUAUUAUUAUGAUGAUUAAUUAUACUUUCAAAGUUUAAUGGCUAAAUCUUGCUUUACUGUUUGACCUACAAGUCUAUCAGUCGCGUAAGCGGGGCAUAUGAUCACAAGAUGCAUAAAGGAAAGGUCUUGGAUUAUAGAAAAAGUUACGCUAGGGAUUUAUAACUGUGAGUCCUCCAAUAUUAAAAAUUAUUGGUAAUAUAUUGGGUA